rnacentral:rRNA from 1 species
UCCUUAGAUGUUCUGGGCAGCACGCGCGCUACAAUGGUCUUCGCAAACGGAUGCAUUCUCGAAGGAGAAUGCCAAUCUUGGAAUCUAUGCCUUGGUCGGGACAGUUGCUUGCAAUUUUUCGACUCGAACCAGGAAUUCCUUGUAAUCGUGAUUCAUCACAUCACGAUGAAUACGUCCCUGCCCUUUGUACACACCGCCCGUCGCUCCUACCGAUCGAAGAGUUAGGUGAAUUGUUUUGAUCGAUAAGAUUUGACUAUGGUCAACUCUCGUUGUGAAAUUCUCUGAAUCUGACUGUUUAGAGGAAGGAAAAGUCGUAACA